CGUAAUAGCUCACUGGUCGAGUCGGCCUGCGCGGAAGAUGUAACGGGGCUAAACCAUGCACCGAAGCUGCGGCAGCGACACUAUGUGUUGUUGGGUAGGGGAGCGUUCUGUAAGCCUGUGAAGGUGUGCUGUGAGGUAUGCUGGAGGUAUCAGAAGUGCGAAUGCUGACAUAAGUAACGAUAAAGCGGGUGAAAAGCCCGCUCGCCGGAAGACCAAGGGUUCCUGUCCAACGUUAAUCGGGGCAGGGUGAGUCGA
rnacentral:rRNA from 1 species